UAGUGGGGGAAAGGGCACCAAUCUAGCCUCUUCCAAUACAACCGUCUACUACACCAAACAUCCAAAUGGCCAAGGUUUUCUGGGGAAAAAUAACCUGGUAAAAAGUAGAAUAGGAAAAGGUGGCAGAGUUCAGGUGUGGUGUGGGGUCUGUUUGAAUGGAAAGGCUAAUUAUCAUUCAGUAACUAUUAUUUUUAAUAUGGAAUUAUUGUGAACUGGGACACUGAUUCAUCAAUGUAUUUAAGCAUGUUCCUGAUUGGAGCACUAACAGCAGUGGGAUGGCUCACGUACUUUAAGUUAGUCACGUGCAUAAGUACUCUCUGGAAUUGGGGUUUUAAGGCUGAACAAUUACAGGGCUUUUCUCUUCUCCUUUUUUCGUUUUGAUUCAAUAGGUAUUUAAUUCAAAUCAUUAUUGCUAUAGGUUGCCCUUUUAUAUAAAAUAAUUAUUUAUUGAUCAGAAACAAAUGCCUAUGAUAAUUACAUAAAUAGGAACAAUAAAUAAAUGACUGACAUAAAGAUCCUGUUACAAAUGGCGUAAAAUGAUCUGAAACUAUUGUCACAGUGCACAGAUAGACUAAAUAGUAACAGCUUUUAAAAUUCCACCGCAUCUCAUUUUAAAUCCUGUAUAAAAUAUUACUUGAUUUUGAUUAGUACUUCUAAAAAUGUUGGUAUUUAAAUUUCUAAACUUCUUUGUGAGUUUGUCCUAGAUUUGAAACCCCCAUAAUUCCACAUGGAUUCUCCUGCUAGCACUGAGGCUGAACUGCUUGUCUCUGAUGAAAGAAAUUGGUCUCUCUUCCCUUUCACCCUGGGAAACUAUAGGUCCUUACCAUGGGCGUGCGCACGGGGUGGGCCCGGGCACACACCCUCAUGCCCAUGGGCCGGAUCCGGAUCUGGCCCCUCGGGGCUUUGCAUCCGGCCCGCGGGAUUUGCCCCCCGUGGUGCCGCAGGCCCCGCGCUGCUUUCCGAAGCAGCCAUCAGGGCAGCAGGUCUCUGGGGCUAAGGGGUUGCUCUAGGCACCGCCUCCCGAAGCUCCCAUUGGCCGGGAACGGGGAACUGCGGCCAAUGGGAGCUUCAGGGGAGGUACCUGGAGGCGUGGCAAGGGCAGCGUGCAGAGCCCUGUGCUGCCCCGCCCCUCCCCCGGGGCUGCGGGGAGCGGCCCGGCAUGGGGCCCUGGCAGGCGGGGAGCGCGCCGCUGCGGGAAACGUCUCAAGCUCCGCUAUAUGAUGAGGACAGAGUGAAUGUAUCGCAUAACACGUCAAGUGUUCUGGAGUGUUAGAAGUCACUGUGAGAAGAAUCGGCAGAGAGGAGGGAUUCCACUGCAUCCUUCUGUUUUAACCUCAGUAGUUGCAGCAGCCGGAGCUGAAAGGAAAUAGGGAAUGGUUGAAAUACAAAGGGAAAAAAUAUAAUUUUCAUUGAAUUGAUCUCAAUAAAUUAAAUGAAAAUA